GUUCUCGGGCUGUUGGGCUCCAGGAAAUACGCCAGUGGCCCCUGGUUCUCAGGCCUUUGGACCCAGACUGAACUACACCACCAGCUUUCCUGGCUCUCCAGCGUGCAGACAGCAUGUCGUGGGACUUUUCCACCUCCGUAAUCACAAUCAUCUCCUCUGUCCCAAAAACACAGAAGGAAAGACAGAGAAGCACCGCAGAAGGUGAGGUGAGGGGAGAAGUGCCCAGGUGGAGACCGGGCCUGCCAGCCUGUCCCCCCACACCCCGUCUCCCAGGUGGCCCCAGGCCAUCCUUGACAGUUAAGCCCUGUGUACUCUGAAUGCCAUGGAGGUACCCUGUACCCUCUUAAUGUGAUCCCUGCUGAGCCACGCCCAGCAGGUGCACACCUCCGAGCUCCACUGCACUGUCCCCUGGGCCGGCGCGCUGUGCACACGCAGCAGCUGUCCUCGUCCACCUGGCCGGUCACCUGCGUCAGCUCACUGGGCUCCCUGGAGCUCAGAGUCCCCAUGCUCCCUGUAAAGCGCAGGAGCGGCUCAAGCCCACACACAUACACCCCUCGUUUUUGUCCCUGCCCCUUGCCUGUCUACUGUGUGAGGUUUCUGCACUCUGCUUCAAGCUUCAUGCCGGCUCUUUCUGGCAGCCUGAAACAGGGGAGAGGCUAAGGUGGCACCUUCGGGCAGAUUCUGCUGGUGUUGCCCCUGGCGGGCCUGGAGCUGCCAGCGAGGGGCAGUUUCCUUUGGAGGACGUGCCCGCGAGGGCCGCGGCUGUGGCUGUGCUGAGAGUGGGGCCCAGCCCAGCCCAGGCAGGGGACUGGCAGACACCCCGGCUGUGUGCUGGCCUUCCACCGUGACUCCCGGUCCUCCCAGGCCACCAAUUUUCUGCACUGCUGCUCUCACGGUAGGAAUUAAAGGUGGGAAUGUCUGAAACUCCACUGCCUUGGAUAAGCAGAGCCCCCCCAACUGUAUCAUGCAGGAAGGGGAAGGACUGCAGCUAUCGAGGCAGGGCCAUCACUGUCAUGGUGCCCCCAUCCUACCUUUCCUGGAGACCAGGGUCCAUUAGGCGGCCGCCACUUCAUCAUACUUUGGCCCAUCAAUGUGUCCUGCCUCGGUUCCACUCAUAACCCACAGAUAACAUGAGCACCCUCUGCCGGGGUCUUCGGGGUCAGGGAGUCACUGAAACUGCUGACGUUCAUCCACGGGUCCCUCAUGGUUCUUCCAAAGUGCCUCUCUGGCCGGAGGUGAGGAUGAGGAAUGUUUGAGUAGGUUUUCCACUGCACAGACAUGGAGUAUGGUAUGUUUCUUUCAGCUUCCGUCUCCACAGCUUCCCUAAGUUGUCCAUUAAAAGACAGGGACCCCGUGGCCAGGGUAUGCAGGAUGGCUCCAGGCUCCAUGUGUUCAUGGCGAGGCCAUCGUGCUUUUGACCUCAGAAGAGUUCCAGGGCAGCAGAAGGGGAACCGCCACAGGUGUCCAGCUUGUUGCCAAAGUUUGUGAAGCCAAAGUCUGCAACCUUGAUGUUCAGGUCAGCAUCCAAAAGCAGGUGUUCUGGCUUUAGGUCCCUGUGGGCCAUACCCUGCUGGUCCUCCCCAGGCUGCUGGCUCCCUGCGUUGCUCUGUUGCUGGAGGAAUUAAGGGGGAGUGGCUGGAACGCACUGCCUGUGCUGCGCACUGCACAAACUAUGGGUGGAACUUGUCCUGGGCCUCUUUCCUGUUCCUGUGGCCAUGAUCCCAUAGGUAACGGGUCACCUCCCCUCCACGAGUGAGCUCCACAGCCAGGCAGUGUUCCCUGGAUCUCAGUCACCUUGGAUGAUUUCAUGGCACCAGGACGAUUCAGGGCUGUCACAAGGUGUACUUCACAGUACAGUCCCUAGAGGCUGGAGGAGCGUCACAGACACUGCGUCCCACUCACAAUGCGCCAGGGUACCUGCACCUCAGCCCAGCAGGACAUUAUGAUGCUCAAGUUAAAAAGAGAGGGAACAAGAAUUGCUUAGUAAUAUGUAAGGGAAAAAGCUAUUAAUUGAAUAUUAAUUUAAAACUAUUUUAUCUAUUAAAACUUUAUGACCCAAG